UUAGAUUUCGGUUUCCUUACACUCCCGGCGAAAAUGCCCGAGUUUGUAAAUAGAAAAACGGAUUUCUUUCAGACGGUGAACAUUGAUCUAGCAGCUUAAUCGCCUACAAUAAAAUGUAUCGCAUGGCCUGUCCCUACCCGCGGCAUUGCCUUAGGAUAUGGCAGACAAAGGAUUUCUCCCCGCCAAGGCCCCUUCACACUUCACACACUCCCCACAGUCCCACAUCACACAACAGAGGCCAGAGAGGUUGUUUUUCGCCAGUGUUUCGGAACUUUGAGGGAAACACCCAAGGGGUCCGCAACUCAGAUUUACUACAAUAAAAAAGAUUCAAGACGGAGAACAAAAUCCUACAAAAUUGAAGGGCAUUCCCCAUCUAGAAGAUGCUGUCAAUGCUGGUACAGCAGAAUCAAUCAACUGCACUCUAAUCCUUACUAAGGGAGACUCAGCCCCAAGUCCUCAGCCCCAAGCCCCAAGCUGUUACAGGACUUGGCGUGGUUGGCCGUGCAAAGUAUGGAGUCUAUGUUCUUCAGGAAGAGUUGUUAAACGUGCAGGAAGCCUGAAGAAAAAAAUCUCGGAAAAUUCCGAUAUCAACAAUUUGAUCAAGAUCCUUGGAUUGAAGCACGAGAAGAACUACGAGAGUGUUGAAGAUCUUAAUUCGCUUCGUUAUGGUCAUUUAAUGACCAUGACUGACCAG